rnacentral:lncRNA from 1 species
AUUCAUCCAACAACAUUUUUGAUGCAUGAUGCAUAUGGUGCUAAAUGUUGGGAAUGCAAACCUGAAUAAGUGUCUAUUUCAAAUCAAUAGGAGUACUUGAAGAUUCUCCCUGCUUACAAUGUAAACAUCAUGAAGAAAGAGAUGUGUUGGACUUGUUCAUUGCUAUAUUUCCUGGCUUAGAACCUGGCAGUGAGUAGACAUCAAGAAAUAUUUAAAUGAAUGAAAGAAUAAAUGAAUGAAUGAACGAACUGUGGCCUCUUGUAGAGCAGAGGGUAUUUAACCACUACCCUAAGAGAUGACACCAGGAGGUCUUGCUGCAAAGCCAGGCACUGUAUUCCACACUGUAUUUCCAUCAUCUCUUUUAAUGAGACUUCUUUGCAAAUAUGUAUGGUAUCUUUUAAAAUACCUGAUAACCAGCCAGCAGGGGUGGUCAGCUGCUACACUGGCAGCUGCAAACAGAAUCCAAGACACAGAACUUCAUACAGUGUCACAGCUUCAUUUUCCAGGCUACAGCUCCCACUGCCCACAUCAGAACCAUCUGCAGGUCCAUAGGCUGUGAGUUUCUUUGGGAGUUGGGGGAGUGUCUUUUGGAUGUUUAUAACUUAUGCAUCUUAAUAUUGAAUGUGCACUUAAUACAUGGAACUUCAUAGUACUUGAUUUUUUAUGCAAAAAUGACUUAAUUAAAAUUUCUUGAAGGAA